UUAUGUGCCCCUAUUUCUCUCUUUUUUUUUUUUCUCUACAGAACUUGAUGCUUUGGCCAAUAACCACGAAACUAUUUCCAGGAAAUAUAAUGUAUUGCAAUCAUCUACUUGUUCUUGUGCACCAUUGAGUUUAUACUUCAGAUACACCAUGAGGAAUGUGGUAUAUUGUAGCUUUGAAUUGGUGUAAAUUGCUCAAGGUUGUUGUUUACAUUUAGGUGGAAGUAAUCUCUAUCCUUGUUAAGUGCAGAGGCUGUGAAGGAGCUAUAUGAUAAAAUGCUGAAAUCUGGAAUGCUAAAUGAUGUAAAGGGGAAUGACUUACCUUUGCAACUUGGUACAGCAGAUAUCGUUUUCAGUUCCAACUUCAAUGGGGACACAAGAGGCAUCUGUAAGUGUUGAAAUUUAUCAUGAAGAUCCAAAGUGAAGCUGGUCUCUUAAGAAACAAGAUGUAUUUCAAGUGGAAUGUGCUGUGAAUGUUUGAGGUAAUCCACCCCUAUGUACUUUAGGUUCUUUUUUUUUUGUUGGUUUUGCUAUAAGCUUCAUUUGUGAUUACUUCCACAACAUUUGUAUACUACUCAACUUUUUAUAUAAGUGAAGGUUCUUUGCAACAAGCAAAGAAUUAGUCAGAUUUGUUAUUCUUUUUUUUAUUUUUAUAAAUUUUUGGGUGAUAUUGGAACAAUAGAGAAUUGAUUUUUUUUUAUUUAAAAAAAUUGAAUUUACAGCGCGCAAAGUAUGCCUUAAACUAAAUUUCACGGCUUGCAAAACAUGCCUCAAAACAAAUUUUACGGCGUACUUUUGGGUCAUUUACGGCGUGCAAAGCAAAUUUUACUGCGUGCUUUUGAGUUAUUUACGGCGUGAAAAGCAAAUUUUACAGCGUGCUUUUAGGUAUGCACGCUGUAAAAAAGUUAUAUAUAUAUAUAUAUAUAUAUUUUACGACAGUCUAUAAGGGCGCAUUUUUAUACGGAUUUGCACGUCGUAAAUUGUCAUUUACAGCGUUUUUCGCACGUCGUAAAUGACUUGUUUUCAUGUAGUGAAAGUAAGCCUAAAUUAAUGUGUAAUAAAUGAGAGAUAAAUGUUUCUGGUUUGUUGGGAUAUAUAGAUGGAAGGGUGUAUACAAACUUGUUGGGUAUAAAUGUAUCAUUGGAUGUUUAAAAUUACUUGAUUUAAACCAAUAGUUAAUCUAGUGCGCUUAUUAUUAAGAUAUAUUUGCUCGAGGCCCGUUCCAAAGCAGACGUCGGCACUUCGCUAAAGUGCGAACCGCGACGCAGUGGAGGCGAUCCAGGCGGCGCGCGGCUUGCAGGAGGGAGGCCGGAGGCCGGAGGCAUCUCGGACGGUUCUGUGCAGCAACCCAACCUGCAACUGCAGGUUUUCUGGGCAGCGCUGCAACGACGUUGUCGGCGACUCCCCCGACUGCAGACCUCUCCGCGCGACUCCUGGCAUCCUUCCAGCUGCCCCCACCGCUCCGUCGCGCCCCGAGCAGAGCUACAGAUUCGCCGUCCACACUUUAGCGAAAGUGCGGACGUCCUCUUUGGAACAACUCCGAUAUUUGCUCGGUCUAAAUAUAGUUUAGUGGGUUGUCGAUCCUUUCAAAAUGUCUUUUUCAAAAACGAGUACUACUAAAAUCUUGCCAAAUUAGUACUCCUGAAAAAUACUUUGGAAAAUUAAGUCACCAGCAAAAAUGUUGCACCAAUUGUGGAGAAUGCUAAAUCUGGUUUAUAUUUCCAGGUUCGCAAUAAUAAAAAGGAAAGGGACACCUCUUCAUGCCAUUUGGAAUGGAAACAGA